rnacentral:rRNA from 1 species
AGCAGCCGCGGUAAUUCCAGCUCCAAUAGCGUAUAUUAAAGUUGUUGCAGUUAAAAAGCUCGUAGUUGAAUUUCGGGAUUGACACAUCGGUCGUGCCUUAAGGGGUGUGAACUGGUGUAGUCAAUUUCUCACCUUCUGGAGAACCGCGAUGUCCUUAAUUGGGUGCCGCGAGGAACCAGGACCUUUACUUUGAAAAAUUAGAGUGUUUAAAGCAGGCAUUUUUGCUUGAAUACAUUAGCAAUGGAAUAAUAAAAUAGGACGGCAUGAUUCUAUUUUGUUGGUUCUAGGAUCACCGUAAUGAUUAAUAGGGAUAGUUGGGGCAUUAGUAUUCAAUUGUCAGAGGU